rnacentral:rRNA from 1 species
AUUGAACGCUGGCGGCAUGCCUUACACAUGCAAGUCGAACGGUAACGGGCCUUCGGGUGCCGACGAGUGGCGAACGGGUGAGUAAUACAUCGGAACGUGCCCGAUCGUGGGGGAUAACGAGGCGAAAGCUUUGCUAAUACCGCAUACGAUCUACGGAUGAAAGCAGGGGACCGCAAGGCCUUGCGCGGACGGAGCGGCCGAUGGCAGAUUAGGUAGUUGGUGGGAUAAAAGCUUACCAAGCCGACGAUCUGUAGCUGGUCUGAGAGGAUGAUCAGCCACACUGGGACUGAGACACGGCCCAGACUCCUACGGGAGGCAGCAGUGGGGAAUUUUGGACAAUGGGCGCAAGCCUGAUCCAGCCAUGCCGCGUGCAAGAUGAAGGCCUUCGGUUUGUAAACUGCUUUUGUACGGAACGAAAAGCCUUCUUUUAAUACAGGAGGGUCAUGACGGUACCGUAAGAAUAAGCACCGGCUAACUACGUG